rnacentral:lncRNA from 1 species
CAUGUAUGAAUGUAGUGUGAUGUAUAUACUUUUAUUUGAACUUGUUUAUUUUGUACUAGUGUUUAUCUUAUUAAUUUUGACAUGUAUGAUGAAUGUAUUCUUCUGAUGCUUGAGAGUGAUGGCACUAGUCAAUAAGAAGAAACAAGUGGUAUCAUGGCUAGUUUUGGCUGUGUUUAGACAUUUUCGUUAUCGAACUUGACACUAGUUAAAUGAGUUUGGCUGCUUUUGCAUAAUUUCAAAUGUGGUAUAUUGCUUCUGUAGCUUUCGUUAUUUGUGUGCUCUUUGGGCAAUCUUUUGGAACCCAUUCUAAAAUUUUUCGUUGCCACUACAUUCAUGAUGUGUGAUCAUUUUUUUACUGUAGUUUCUCCAUUUGAAGUAUGGAAUAGAUUUGUCUGUCUGCUGUGGUCCCAUAUUUUGGGAAAUUUAACUUAUUUAGGAGAGUUUUUUUCAGAGAUUUGCUUUUUUAUCUUGCCCUAUACAUGGCUGCAUGUAGUUAAGCCUUGCUUGUUUUUUUUUUUUUUCNNNNNNNNNNNNNNNNNNNNNNNNNNNNNNNNNNNNNUGUCUUCUUUAAAGAGAGUGAAGUGAGCCAUUAGCUCUGGGGAAAAAAGCAAGAGAAAGGGAAGAAGCGGGGUAGAGGAGUGGUAUUUUUACUGCCUCCUUCCUGCUUGCUUGUACGUGUGCAUACAUAUUAUGUUGGGGAGGUUGGGGAAAAGGGAGUUCUUUUUUUUCUUUAAAAAUUUCUUUAUCUCAUUGUUGUUGGGGGACACCUGGAUUUAAUCCCAUUCUGAUGAUCAUCAUGGACCUGUCAUAGGAGUUGGGGUCAUGAUCAGUGGAUGAUUCUUGCAAGUCUUGCUGUUGGGCAGGUUAUUUGGUGGACGCAAGUGGAAUAAUUAACUCUUUAAGCAGAAUCCUUGAAGAGAGAGUUUAUGUUAAUCUAGAUUUUUGGUUGUACGUGUGUAAUUUAAGAUUUAAUCAAGUAUAGCAUUGGAAAUCCUAGAUUUCAUUGAAGAUGGAUUCAGUUUGGUAUUUGAGGAACAUAAACAAUUGAGUCUUUGGCUGCUUGUCUUCUGCAUCCAUCUCUGCAACUUUUCUUUUUGAGUAAUGACUUUGGAUUGGUCAUAUUUGGCCCUUGGCAGUAAAAUGCCUGAUGAGGCAGAAUGUUUUGUUUUAUGAAACAUUAUCAGUCCAUGAGUGUCAUAUGAAACAUUUCCUUUGCUGAUUUCUGGUAGGUUUUCUAGAUAUUUUCUUUGUUACUGAUGAUGGUAAAGAUAUGUUGCUAUGGUUGCAGGCGGACAAGGUCACAGUCGUGCCCCUUCUGCCGAGAUAGUCUG